UACAGAGGUCUCAAGCGUUGUUCGGAUUCAUUGGGCGUAAAGGGUGCGUAGGCGGCGCGGUAAGUCGGGUGUGAAAUCUCGGGGCUUAACUCCGAAACUGCAUUCGAUACUGCCGUGCUUGAGGACUGGAGAGGAGACUGGAAUUUACGGUGUAGCGGUGAAAUGCGUAGAUAUCGUAAGGAAGACCAGUGGCGAAGGCGGGUCUCUGGGCAGUUCCUGACGCUGAGGCACGAAGGUCAGGGGAGCAAACGGG
rnacentral:rRNA from 1 species